UGAGUACGAGAUGCUACGGCAUCGAAGCAGUCUAUGUCCUACUUCCAAGAAAAGCUCGCACUGUCAAAAACAAAUUAAUGCCUGUACCAUAACCGACACAGGUGGGUAGGUAGAGUAUACUAAGGGGCGCGAGAUAACUCUCUCUAAGGAACUCGGCAAAAUAACUCCGUAACUUCGGGAGAAGGAGUGCCUUUUUAAGGCUGCAAUAACCAGAUCCAAGCAACUGUUUAUCAAAAACACAGGUCUCCGCUAAGUCGUAAGACGAUGUAUGGGGGCUGACGCCUGCCCAGUGCCAGAAGGUUAAAGAAGUUGGUUAGCCCUGCGAAGCUGAUGACUGAAGCCCUGGUGAACGGCGGCCGUAACAAUAACGGUCCUAAGGUAGCGAAAUUCCUUGUCGGGUAAGUUCCGACCCGCACGAAAGGCGUAAUGAUUUGGAUACUGUCUCGGAGAGGGACUCGGUGAAAUAGACUUGUCUGUGAAGAUGCGGACUACCUGCACCAGGACAGAAAGACCCUAUGAAGCUUUACUGUAACUUGAGAUUGAAAUUGGACUUUAUUUGCGCAGUAUAGGUGGGAGGCGUUGAAAAUAUUCUUGCGGGAAUAUCGGAGCCAUCAGUGAGAUACCACUCUUGUAAUGUUAGAUUUCUAACUUUGUAUCAUUAUCUGGUCAAAGAACAGUCUCAGGCGGGCAGUUUGACUGGGGCGGUCGCCUCCCAAAUGGUAACGGAGGCGCACAAAGGUUUCCUCUGAACGGGUAGAAAUCGUAUCUAGAGUGUAAAGGCAUAAGGAAGCUUGACUGUGAGACUUACAAGUCGAGCAGGGACGAAAGUCGGUCUUAGUGAUCUGACGGUGCUGAGUGGAAAGGCCGUCACUCAACGGAUAAAAGUUACUCUAGGAUAACAGGCUGAUCUCCCCCAAGAGUUCACAUCGACGGGGAGGUUUGGCACCUCGAUGUCGGCUCAUCGCAUCCUGGGGCGGUAGUACGUCCCAAGGGUUGGGCUGUUCGCCCAUGAAAGCGGUACGCGAGCUGGGUUCAGAACGUCGUGAGACAGUUCGGUCCAUAUCCGGUGUAGGCGUUAGAAUAUUGAGAGGAGCCUUCUUUAGUACGAGAGGACCGAGAAGGACAUACCUCUGGUGUACCAGUUAUCGUGCCAACGGUAAACGCUGGGUAGCUAUGUAUGGAGUGGAUAACCGCUGAAAGCAUCUAAGUGGGAAGCCCACCUCAAGAUAAGUAUUCUC
rnacentral:rRNA from 1 species